UACAGAGGGUGCGAGCGUUGUUCGGAAUUAUUGGGCGUAAAGGGCGCGUAGGCGGUGCGGUAAGUCUGAUGUGAAAUCUCCAAGCUCAACUUGGAAAUGGCAUCGGAUACUAUUCGGCUCGAGGAAUGGAGGGGAGACUGGAAUACUUGGUGUAGCAGUGAAAUGCGUAGAUAUCAAGUGGAACACCAGUGGCGAAGGCGAGUCUCUGGACAUUUCCUGACGCUGAGGCACGAAAGCCAGGGGAGCAAACGGG
rnacentral:rRNA from 1 species